UUACCGAAUUUUUUUUCAAAGAAAAAACAAACUGAUUUUCUUUUUCUGAGGAAGCAGGGACCAGCAGACAGCUGAGUAAAUUUUCCAUAUUGUAUUCAGAGUCUCAUGAGAUCCUGACAUAAGCCUCAAAAAAUGACUUGUUUGAGACUUAAUCUGGUUAUGAAAAAUAGGUCUGUAAUUCCUGAAAACCUGAGUAAAAAGCCUAACUGUCUAGCAGGGUGGGAACCUGGAGAAUUGUGGAAGAGGAAUGUGUUCUGAAAUACUUUGUUUCAUAUGACUAAAAAAAAGCUCUAGUAUUCACUGGAAAUGUCCAGGGAAUCCUUUCAGUUUUGAGUGUUUGACUGCAGACCUGAGCCACCUUCCACAGUAGAGACUGGCACAGCAAUCAAGAGUCACUGCCGACAGGGAUUCCCAAGGAGGGAGGAGAGCACAUGUGGUCCCUGGGUCUUGCUGUGUGAUGCCUGCAUUAGCUCAGGACACUCUCAGCAAGGUCAUCCCAGACAUAGCCCUUUGACCUUGGACCUUCAGAACUGUUGGCCCUGAACUCCUGGAUUCAAGUGAUCUGCUUACUUCAGCCUCCCAUGAAACUGGGACUACAGGUCAGCGCCACUUUGCUGGGUAACUUCUUAUAAUUUUCUAACGUCACAUUGCUAAAUAUUCUUCCAUACCAGUGGCUUUUCUUUUUGGACAGGGUCUUAUUUUGUCGUGAAAGCUGGCCUCAGACUUAACUGUAUAGUCCACAGGGACACUUCAGUCUCAGCCUCCUGAGUGCUGGGAUUACAGGUGCGUGCCGCCAUGCCCAGCUUCGUCACUGUUCUACAGCCAUUUGGUAAAACUACUCUGACAGCUUUAACGAAGCAACAUCACAUGAUAAAUUAUCACCAGUGACAAAUGUGGAUGCUGGCAACUCAACAUCCUGUAGUUAGGGAGGAGGACAAGGAAGGUGUUUGACAGUGAUCGAUUCCUUCCUGUCAUGAAACAGAAUUGUUCUUUCAGAAGCUCUCUGAUCAGCUUUGAAGUAAUAAAGAAACAAUUUAUUAGGCCAUAACAAAACCUCUACAGAACCAAAAGUUGCACGUCUGUAUCAAAUUCAAAGUUGGUUGUUUUCAAUCAGUAAAACCUGAGCCCUAAGGAGGACAUGGAAAUCUUUUCUACUGGGCAUCUCAGCAUGACUUCAACCACAGGUAGUGAUCUCUGAACUACAAAUACAAGGAAGGAUCCUAGAAAGUCAAGAUAGAGUUUUUAAUCUGUACUUUGGCUAAAAGAUGAUUUUUCAGUGUUUUCCUAACAGUUUUUUUCCCCCGCUAAACCUGUUUCACACCAGAGGUGUAUUCAUAUUUUCUCUAUCUGUCUGUCUCUGUCUCUCUCUCUUUUUAAGACCAGGUCUCACCAUACAGUUCAGACUGGGCUUGAACUCACUUUGUAGCCCAGGCUGGCUUCAAAUUUGCUACUCAACCUCCUGAAUGCAGGCAUUACAGCUGUGCACCACUACUCUUGGCCAAUAGAUUUUUUAGCUCUUAAAUACGGUCAGAGAUUUACCUGGCAAGUUGACUAAAGUCUCAAUACCUAGUCUUUUUGAGUCCCAGGUAAGUGAAUAAAGAUUCUACUGUAAGGUAAAAAUGGUCUGAAAGAGUAAAAGUUAAGUGCUUUACCAAUGAGCAGAUUUCAGACAUGAACUUGAGGUACUAACAGAGAAACUAGAAUUAUUGCAUUUUACUUCUAAAACUAUUGAAUCUCACCAAAGGGCAUGUCUAGUAGGCCAGGUGACUAGUUUAUCCCCAGCUCUGAAACCUUACUCUGUCUAUGGCUAUCAACACUUGCCACACACUAUAAUCACCAGGAGAGAGUUUAAACAUUCCCAUGUGUAGGCUACAUCAUUGAAGACCAGUUACAAUCUCUAGAAGUGACCCCACAUAUCAGUAGUUUUAAAAUUUUCUCCAGUGAUUUCAGUGCGCAGCCCUAUUUUGAAACACUGCACUAAUCAAUGAGAGCUCCUUACCCUGGAAAAGACAAAACUCAAGCACUGUAGAGCACAUAACAAAUAAACAGAUUUACUUACCACCAAACCUCCAAAACAUUGGUUAUAUAUGUAAGUCAAAAACAAUGGCUGUGUAUACCUAACAGUAAAUGUGGGAAAUAAUCUCUGAGAAGUAAAGGAUCCCACAUUCACACAUGAAGUCAAACAGCCCUGUACCUAAAUCUCAAGUCCAACUGGGGGGCCUUGGGUAAGAUGAUUUUUCUAUGCCUUAGUUUUUCUAAAAUCAUUUUGGAAAUCAUAUCUAUCUCCCAGAGAUGUGCUGAGGACCAGAGGCAAUGUUUCUAAAACAUUGAGCCCAUUACUAUAGAUACAAAAGGCUCUCACAGUGGUAGCUAUUAUUUCAGUAACUAGGCCAAAGCAGUUAUGCAGGGUAACAUCUAGAGGAAAAAGACUUCUUAAAUACUACAGAAUGUAAUAUGAAUGAGUAUAGGAGACAAAACGUGAGAGAUCAUUUAAAUAACUAAAUACAUAACAAUGAAUGCAACUAUUAGGUUGAAUGGAUGAUACACCAAGGCCAAUGAAAUACAAAGGACCAGAGGAGCAUACUGUAAGGAUUAAAGUUUUAAUAUUUGAGAAUAAUGGAUUCAAAGAGUGGGAUCCAUUGAGUUGCAGUCCCUUUAAUCCUAGGAAGGACAAGAUGCCUCUUCUUUCCACUGAUAGACAUUAAUAUUCUCUUAGGUUUCAGUAGUCUUACAGAGCUCCAUCACCUUUAAUGAGAUGGAGAAAUGAAAGCUAGAAGAUAAGAAACAAGACCUCUAGUCAAAUGCUAAAAAACCAAGGAAAGCUGACACAACUAGCAAACUAAUUCACUGGAGUGCAUUUCUGCAGCCUCCUAAAAGGAGACCUGAGGCUCUCACCUUUAUGAACUUGGCAGAAUGAUGUGCCUGACAUUCUUCUGUUUUUUCUAUUCUAGACUAUCAUUAUAUUCCAGGGCAGUCCGCCCACCCUCCCACCACCCAGAGACUAAAGGCUGUGCAUUAUUAACCUCUCUCAAAAAUCCAAUAACACUGUUUAAGGCAGUGGUUCCCAAACCAGCUGUAAAUCAGAGACUGGGACUUUACUGUUCUUCCUUUUUUUCAGUAAAGAUCAAUAGAUCCUAAACCCAGAGGUUCUCAUUCAGUAGGUCUGAGGUGAAGCUAAGGAUCUGUAUAUUUUUAAAAUGCUUCACAAAUGAGUAUAAUAUAUACAGGUCUGACAAUGACUAUUUUAGGGGGCUUGGAGUCUUAAAUGUGUGCAGAACACUGCAUGGGCACUGUAAAUCUCUAACUGUAGGAAGUGAGUGUGCCCAGAGACGUUAAGGAGCUGGGCUGUGAGAGCUGAUUAAUGGAAGAAGUCUCUCCAAAGUAUUUACAUGGGAGGCAAUGUGAUAAUGGGUGACGGUGUUUCCUUUCUUUUAUUUUUCUAAAACAAGAUCUAAAAUUUUUCAUGAGCACCAAACCAACCCACCAAAGUAGAUGGAGUAGCAUACACCUGUGAUCCCAGCUACUCAGGUGGCUGAGGGAGAAGACUGUAAACCUGAGGCUAACAUGGGAAUUUAGCAAAGCCUUGUUUCAAAAAUUUGUUUAAUAAGGUUGGGGAUAGGGAUGCAGCUCAGUGCUCCCUGGAUUCAAUCCCCAGUACUUCCAAACACCAAACAAAAACCUUAAAGGUAAACAAAGCAUCUUUGUUACAUGCAAUGCUGGUGACGUCUAUGGUGAAAUUUUAAGAAUUUGCUUUUACUACUGAUUUAUCACACAUUAGAGUUUUUUGUUUUAUCUUAAAAAAAAAAAAAAAAGAACCUAAACACUUCAGGAAAACAAAUUAGCUCUCCUGGCUCAUCUAAGGAACCGAAAGUGUCUUUCUUUAAGGAUCAGCCUGAAGAAGUGUCAGGGGACAUGCUCUGCAGGGUACGGUGCAGGUUGCCCACAUGAUUUAAUAGUCUGUCUUUGUGGGAGAAGGCCUUUAAAAAAAAAUCAAUACAAAGCCUAUCUGGCAGGCUAUAAAUAAAUUCUUUUGAGCUCUACACCCACUUUAUGCAAAGCACUUGUAUGGGUGUGUGAUUAGAGGAUUAGGAGUUUUCUGUUUAACAGAAAUCUAGCCAAGAAGAAUCCUUCCCAAGAGACCCAAUAUAUAUAAGAUAACUAUACUCUGUAAAAUAAACUGAAGAUGAAAGGGCCCGUAUCAGUAUUCAGCCUCAAGACCAUCUUAGCAAUCAUCAUUUUCCCCAAGAAUUAGAGACAGGCAUCAGAAACUAUCAGGUGUAAAUAGCCUUAUCUUGGUUUGCAGCAAAGGAAGACCAGGAUCUCAGGGUCAAAUGGCUUUGCAGCUUUUAUUUACAAUAUUUAAAAAGCACUAUGUAAGGUCAACAAGGCUAUCAAUGGCAUUGAGCACAGUUACUAAAAUUUAAUGACUGUGCAGCCCAUCCAACACACUUACGAAUUUUCACAUCUAAAGUAAUGAGCCACUGUGACUAACUGAGAGCACAGGCCAGGUUUAACGGACCCUGUAGUAACCACACCCAUACACACCUGCUUCUAGUCUGUUCCAUUCCACUAAUCAUUAUUAGAGUUGUAAUGCUGGAGUCAGAUAUGCAAUCUGAUGUUAAGAGACUCAAGAAAACAUUUUAAAAUUUAAAUCCUAAAGGAUGAGUUCCUUUUUUGGGGAGAAAUAACUCAAGUUCCAUUUGCAGCUUUUAUAACUCUAUUUCCCUAACAAGUAAACACAAUUGGUACUACGGGUACCAGUACGGGCUGAUAUAUUUAUUUGUCUUGAAUAAACGGGCCUGUCUGACUCCAACACUGCUCCCUGGGCUCUUGCCUUGUGACUUCCGACCCCAGAGCCUUUACUUGUGCUGAACAGCUCUGGGCACUCCUCAGGCAAUGUCUGCCCAUUCUCUGGUUUUGGCUUCAGCUUGUCCGUCUUUCAUCUCUUUCUUAGCUUCCAGGGUUUAACCCCUUCUUCUAGAACCAUCAUCUUCAGCAAUGAACUUCAGUAGCUGACAAAAGGAAGAGCACCCCACCCAGUUUCAUCCCUAAUCCAGUUUGCACACCAACAAACUCUGGAACCCUUGGUAGGUCAGGUUGGGUCUUUCUCCCAGGCUGUUUCUUUGCAGGACUGUCAUGAAUAAUCAAUUAGCAAAAAUCUGUGACUUUUCUCAGUCCUUUUCAGAAAGUUUUCUCCUUUUGACAAUUUUUUUUUUUAAUUUAAGGAGAAAAGAAAAAAAAAACAGUGAAGGGGUACAAGUUAUACAGAUUUACAGAAGAAAAAAUGCGCAGUAGGAAAUCACUAGUUAAUGGAUUACAUAUUGCCAUCUUAGAAAUAAUUGUUCAAGUCACAAAAUUAAAGCUUGUAGAGUGGACAUUCCAACAAUGAUACUGCAAACAGUUCUGUUCAAUGAUCCAAUAUAACUCUGUGAUAUCAUUUUCUAUCUUAUACACUUAAAUAUACAUGCAGUUAUAUAGUUUAGAGCACUUUCUUUUUCUCUCUUUUGUACAAUGACUAUUACACAUUUUGGGUUUCAUUGCUCCCACGGUUCUUAUUGCUUUUUUGGAAGAGAGUAAAACCAAAUGUGACAUAACAGAACAGAAUCGUUCAAGUCAAAAGGGUGGACAUAAUAGAUAAUAUAAAAACAUAAUACAAGGUGAUCAACAGUGGUUACCAUAAUGCCUCCCGCUAUCUCUAAUAGAAUUGCCUAUAUCAUUAGUUGUAAUAUAAUUGAACAAAACAUUAAAGAACAAAACCGACAAAACCAAAACAUUGGAGACAUUGUAGGUCUCCAAAAGUAGAUAAAAGUCAACGAGAAUGGGCGUUAUAAUGAAUCUCAUUAUCUUCUCAGCUGAUGCCUAAACUUUCGAACCUGAUACUAUCCAGCAAAACAGAAUAGGGGAACAUCAGUCAAAAACAAGAUGGUGAGAGUAAUACAGGGCUUCAAAUCGAGAUAAUAGAAAGUCAAAGUGGGUUACUAUAUUAUAUCCUGCUAUUUUUUUCCCUUUAAUUAAAUGGAUAAAAAUAAAAAAGUAAAUAAUGGAGUGGAGAUUGAGAAAAAAAGAGGGCAUAACAGCGAAACAGGGCAGAUCAAAACAUAACCAUUUAAGCAGAAUAGUGUUUCACCACCAGAUAAUUCUGACCCAAGAGUAGUUACCAUAUUGACUCUUUCCUUGAAGUCCUUGAGUACAACUUCAUAUACUGUAGCAUUAAGUAUAUCAAAACAAUGUAAAACCAUUUAAGAGAAUGACAGCAUUAUAGAGUAUUUAGAAUCGACUAACAGAAAAUGAUUUCUGAAAAUGGUUUCUGUAUAAUCUCCUUGUCUUUAAAAGGUUUUUGCUUAUACUAUCGUACAUAAUAAAAUCCAAUAAGAUACAACCUGUUUAGACCAUUGGAGACAGAAGAACAAAAGCUAGAUGAGACUUCAAAACAAGAUGAUACUAAAUCAGUAUUACCUAUUUAGAUGUCCUUUUCUCCAAAAUAGCUGUUCCUAUCAUCCAGUCUUCUCUGUCUCAUUUCUGUUGAGCUCUUUUUCUGUCAGUAGCUGUCAGUUUGUCUUCUUCAUUUUGUUCUCUGCUCCAUUCGUUGUGGCCUCCCCGCCACUAUUUCUGGGUUCUUUGUAUUUUUCUUUUUUUAGAAUAUCCUGCAAUACUUUCCGUAGGGUUGAAUUGGUGGUUGCAAAUUCCCCUAGUUCCUCUUUAUCCUGGAAGCACCUUGUUUUUCCAUCAAUUUCCAGGGACAGUUGUGCAGGAUAUCUCAAUCUUGGCUGGAGAUUAUUAUUUUUCAAAGCUUGAAUUAUUUCCCCCCAUGCUCUUCGUGAUUUGAUGGUUUGUGCAGAGAAAUCUGCUGUAAUUCUGAUGGGUGUUCCCUUGUAAGUGGUCUGUUUCUUGUCUCUUACAGCUUUUAAUAUUCUGUUCUUGUAUUGAAUUUCUGGAAUUUUUAUUAUUAUAUGCCUGGGUGUUUCUCUGUUAGGGUUGUAGUAGCUGGGGUCCUGUAUGCCUCAUACAUCUGAGUAUCUUUACCUUUUGCUAAAUUAGGAAAAUUCUCCUGGAUUAUUUCUGUGAGUAGCUUUUGUAGUUCACUUGUUUGCGUCCCUACUUCUUCUUUUAUGUUCUUAAUCCUUAAGUUAUGUCUCCUCUUAUCAUCUUCUUGUCUUUGUAUUAUUGCUGUUUGUCUCUUUGUUAUUUUUAAGAAGUUUUUCAUUUCAUUCUCCCAUAUUACAAGUCUGCCCUCCAGUUCAGAUAGUCUGUCCUUAGUUUCUUUCAAGCUGUUAUGCCAGUCUUGGAUAGACUUCUUAAUUUCUUGGUAGUCCCUUUGAACCUGCUUCACGUACUCUAUGCUUUCUCUGUUUUCUCCAUCAAACAAUUCUCCCCUCUUUUUCUGUUCUUCCAUUCCACCAUCUGUUUUUUCCUGGGUGGUGCAUAGCAUUUCUCUAACUAUUCUGCAUACUUCUAGCUUCAGGUCGUUGAUAACUUCAUUCCUGAAUUGGUCUAUGAGGCUCUCUAUAUGGCGCUUUAUGUCUGUUGGUGCGGUGUCCGCUAUUGCCUGUUUCUCAGAAUUGGGGGCCGAGGAGCCUUUCUUGUUGCUUCCCUUCCCCAUAUUCUCUGUUCCUUAUAUAUAUGCAAGCUUACAUAGGAGGCCCAGCUUCCCUGCCUAUCAGCCACAGCCUGAUCAAAUUGCGCUGGCUAGUUGUUCCCGCCCACCGCUGCGCACCAGGGAGUUGCGGAGGAGGCAGCCUACGCGGGAGUCAGUCGCUCCUCCGGGCCACAGUCAGGCUCUGGGAUCUGGGUUAGGCCAGCCUACCAAGUCCACCCGCAGCGUCACGCAGGCCAGGCACUUUUCACCAAUCCCGUCCGAGAGGGGAAUGUGUGGCUGGAGUCGCCACCGCGCCCUGUUCCCGCAGAACUGCCCGAGCCCAGAAAGUCCUCCGCUGGAGUCAAACUGUGGUAGAGUGUCAGUUUCUCUCACUCACCUCGCCACAAGUCAGUGUACGCCUCCUUGUCCGUCCUGUUUUCGACUCCGUUCGCAGACUCCCGUUCCCAGAGCUUCUGCGCGUCUCUGCUUGCCAAGCCGCUGUGGAGGCAGCCAGCCGCCGGGCGGCGGGAAACCCAAAUCGCGGUUUCCAAUGGCGCGGGGUCCAGCCUCCACACCGUCUUUUCUGUUCCUAUUUUAGCGCCAGGACUGUAUUCUAAAUUGGUUUCUCUCAGCCCAGUUCGUUCCUGAGUCAGCAGAGCAUAUCUCUACCAGUUCAUGUCUCCUUAGUCCGCAUCUUUCCUGGCCUCUGAGCCGAGCCUUUCAGAGAGCCUCCGGUAGUUGCUGUUGUCUGUCUGCCAUGUUCUCCCGGAACUCCUUUUGACAAUUUAGCUAGCUCCUUUCAGUAUACUAAACAUGUUCAAUUAAUUUUUUAUAAAAAAAAUUCUUAAUGCAGUAUCAUGAUAGUCAGUUGUUUUAUUUUAAAAUAAAUUUACUUUCCUUUAUGAAUACAUUGUUCCAUUGUUCCCAUAGAGAAACCUACCUGCCAGCUGUUGUAGGUAAUGAGAUGUCUUCUCUGGUUGCCCUUGGAGGAUCUUGUCUCUGUAUCCUGCAGUGGUGCUAUGACAUGUCUAAGGACGCAUUUAUUUUAUUUAUCCAGUUUGGGACUGACUGUAAUAUUUCAAUCUUAGGACUCCUUUCUUUCUUAACUAUCUGGAAAUUGUGCAGCCAUUGAUUCUUCAUCCUAAUUCUAUUUUCUUUUUUAAAUGACUGUUGAUUCUCUAUCCUCUAUCUCUGAAAAAUUUGCUUCAGAUUUUUCAUCUUUGUUAUUUUGGAACUUUUCUUACAUAUUUUUUUUUCCAGUUCACAAAUUUUCUUUUGGCUGUGUCUGAUCUGACAUUUAACACAUCCACUAUAUAUAUAUAUAUAUAUAUUUAGUGUAUGUGCUGUCAAAGCAAGCACUCCAUUGAAUUUCUGAGCGAUUUAAAGACGCCUACAGGUGUAGAAGAAUGCACACCUGUAAUCCCAGCUGCUUGGGAGGCUGCGGUAGGAAGAUCACUUUGGUCCAGGCUUUUGAGACCAGCCUGGGCAACACAGUAAAUCUGUGACUCAAAACAACAACCAAUCUGCAAAAACCAAAAACCAAAAAAAAAAAAAAAAAAAACCACAAAAAACAAAAAACAAACAAACCAAGCCCCCAAACUCCUUCCCUACAAAUUUAUGAGUUUACUGGAUUUAUUUUCAGCUCUGAUCUUUUGAAAAUAUUUUGUCACAUCUUUAAAAUUCCUUUUAGGUCUUUAAAAUCAAUAAACAGUUAUUUUAUAGCAAGUCACUCUAACACCUGCAGUCAUGAGCCUAAUUUUGUAGGGUCAGCUCAGGAAUCUGAGGAGUCCAUAUUUAGUUGAACUCUUUCUGUGACAAUACUGCUAGGUCUUGGUGAAGAAUGCAAGCUUCAAAAGAUUUGCAUUGUACUUCUGCCAGAUGCCCUGCAGUUUUUGUUUAUUUGAUUUUGGUUUUCUUUGCCCUGGGGUUAAUUUUAUGUUAAAAAUUUAAAAUAUAUACACUGUCACUGCCAAAAAUGUGAAACUAGAAAGGUAGGACGAGAGGGGUGAAAAUGAUAAAGUAUGGUAUGUGCAAGAGCAAAUCUGCCGUAAUGACACCCAUUAAUCUAAAUAACCAAUAAAAAAGUGGAAAAUAUUUCAUCAUAGUGUUUCUUGAGCAGGAACUAAUAUAAAUGUGCCUCACACAAGUACAGACAGGCCUGAAGUUUGACAUUUCCAGGGAGGCGGCUCCCUUCCCCGGGAGGAGGCAGCCUGGAGCGCUCCUACCUCUGCUGUGCUGCUGUGUUCCACACGCUCCCUUCACUCAGGGACAGUGCUUCCACAGGCCUGGCUGCCUGUGGGUCUGUUUCCAAAUCUACUUGGCACAAAAACACAGUUGUGCCCACAAAACUUCAUGACUACUGAAGUCAAGCACAGGGCAGGGGUAGCAGUGGCAGCAGAAGCCACUGGAUCUGGAUCACUUUGCUUUCUAGUUUCUUUUUACUUCCCAGGAAGUUGAAUUCUCCACUCAUUUUCAGAUCUUAACAGAAGUAGCACUUUCUCACAGAAAUGACCCCUACCUUACUCCUCUCCUAAACAGACCAAGGACUUUUCAUGGCUCCCUCUAUUACAUACAACAGUUUGUAGUUAUGAUUAAUAGCAUAGUCAUUUGUUUAAUGUCUGCCACUAGACUGUCAGUUCCAAGAGGGCAGGAAUCAUUUGUCCACUAGAGUAUUCAAACAGGCACAUUACAGAAACAAAAUAAAAAUCUGCAAAAUGAAUCAAAAGAAUGUGUGUAGCUGAAGCAUGGAGUAAAUAUUAGUAUGUGUGCAACUUCUCAAGGAAAGUAAAAGGAGAAAAAAAGGAAACAUUUUAUUGCACAUAUUUUAAAAAUGUAAGAAAUAAAUUGUAAAUCCCUGGGUAACUGCUGACCAUUUCAAUGCAAAUUUUAUGUACACAUGAUUCUUGGUUCUCUUCUUUUGAGUAAAAUAUUUGGAUCUGAAGUACAUUGUUCAGUCUGUUUUGGUAAAUGGGCACACUCACACAACAUUAUUUUAACAGAACAUUCCUUCAACCUAGGUCUUCUCCUCUCCUUUCAAUAUGCUUAUAAUCUUACAAACAACUCUUGAUUUCUACUGUCAUAAGUUAGGUUUUCUGUUCUGCAACUUUAUGUAAAUACAAUAAAAUAGUGUGUACUUUUUUGGAUUUGGCUUAUUUUACUGAUACUAUUUUUUCAAAUUCAUCUAUAUUGUCUCAUGUUAUCUCAAUCUGAUAAAAGCCAUCUAUGACAAACCAACAGCCAACAUCACACUGAAUGGAAAAGCACCUGAAAGCUUUCACUCUAAAACCAGGAACAAGACAAAGAUGUCCACUGUCUCUACUCUUAUUUGGUAUAGUCCUAGAAAUAUCAGCCAGAGUAAUUAGACAAGAAAGAAAUAAAAGGAGUAAGACAGGCAAAGAAGUUAAAUUAUCAUUAUUUGCGGAUGACGUGACACUGCAUAGACCACCCCAAUAAACUUCACUGCAAGUCUUUGAGGAUUACUAAUCAAAUGCAGCAGCAGAGUUGGACACAAAGUCAACACUCAGAAAUCAACAGCGUCCCUGUACAAAAAUAACAAACUUACUGAGAAAUAAGAGAAACAACACCUUUCACAAUAGCAUCCAAAAAAAAAAAAAAAAAAAAAAAAGAAA